UACGAAAGGUCCAAGCGUUACUCGGAAUUACUGGGCGUAAAGCGCGCGUAGGCGGUCUCGUAUGUCGAUUGUGAAAGCCCCGGGCUCAACCUGGGAACUGCAGUCGAAACUGCGAGACUUGAAUGUUGGAGAGGGUGGGGGAAUACCUAGUGGAGAAGUGAAAUUCGUAGAGAUUAGGUGGAACACCAGAGGCGAAGGCGCCUGCCUGGCCAAACAUUGACGCUGAGGCGCGAAAGCGUGGGUAGCAAACAGG
rnacentral:rRNA from 1 species